GACGGAGGAUGCAAGUGUUAUCCGGAAUCACUGGGCGUAAAGCGUCUGUAGGUGGUUUAAUAAGUCAACUGUUAAAUCUUGAGGCUCAACCUCAAAAUCGCAGUCGAAAUUAUUAGGCUAGAGUAUAGUAGGGGUAAAGGGAAUUUCCAGUGGAGCGGUGAAAUGCGUAGAGAUUGGAAAGAACACCGAUGGCGAAGGCACUUUACUGGGCUAUUACUAACACUCAGAGACGAAAGCUAGGGUAGCAAAUGGG
rnacentral:rRNA from 1 species